GCGGGGAUGCUGGAAUCGGCAGACAGGCAAGCUUGAGGUGCUUGUGUCAGUAUUGGCGUGUGGGUUCAAGUCCCAUUUCCCGCACCA
rnacentral:tRNA from 6 species